GGAGUGUGCACUGUGCAGUUGACUACAGAGAGAGAGGGAGCAGGAGAGAGAGAGAGAGAGAGAGAGCGAGAGAGAGAGCAGCUCGCCGGCCCAUUGAGGAAAGAUGGCUACAGUCACUGCAAACGGAGUGCAGCAAGAGAAUGGAUUCAGCACCACGAACAGCGCCGGCAGGAUGAACGGGCUUACCAUCGGCCAGAACACCAUUCCAAUGAAGGACCACGACGCCAUCAAGCUUUUCAUCGGGCAGAUUCCCAGAAACCUGGAGGAAAAAGACCUGAAACCCCUGUUUGAGGAAUUCGGAAAGAUAUACGAACUCACUGUACUGAAAGACAGGUUUACGGGAAUGCAUAAAGGAUGUGCCUUUCUAACAUACUGUGCCAGAGAGUCAGCACUGAAGGCCCAGAGCGCCCUCCAUGAACAGAAGACUCUGCCAGGGAUGAACCGGCCCAUCCAGGUGAAGCCAGCCGACAGCGAAGGACGAGGAGAAGACAGGAAGCUGUUUGUGGGAAUGCUCGGCAAGCAGCAGAGCGAGGACGACGUCCGGCGGCUGUUCGAGACCUUCGGCCAGAUCGAGGAGUGCACCGUCCUGCGAGGGCCUGAUGGGGCCAGUAAGGGCUGUGCCUUUGUCAAGUUCUCCAGCCACGCAGAAGCGCAGGCCGCCAUCAACAGCUUACAUGGUGGACAGACUAUGCCUGGUGCCUCGUCCAGUCUGGUGGUCAAGUUUGCAGACACUGAUAAGGAGAGGACAUUGCGCAGGAUGCACCAGAUGGCGGGCCAGCUCGGCAUCUUCAGUCCCAUGACCAUCCAGUUUGGGGCCUAUGGCGCCUACUCUCAUGCUGUAAGUCUCAGCCCGGCGGGGGAGGAGACGCAGAUGAUGCAACAGCAAGCAGCCCUGAUGGCAGCAACACAAGGGUCCUACCUGAACCCCAUGGCAGCCAUUGCUGCCGCGCAAAUGCAGCAAAUGGCAGCUUUCAAUGUCAACGGCCUGGUGGCUACUCCCAUGACACCGUCCUCAGGCACCAGCACACCCCCAGGCAUCUCUGCCACAGCCGUGCCCAGCAUAGGCGCCCCUAUCGGGGUCAACGGAUUCAGUGCCCUCCAGCCUCAAAGCAAUGGGCAGCCCACCUCUGAGCCCAUCUACACCAAUGGUAUUCACCCUUACCCAGCACAGAGUCCAACGGUGACCGACCCUCUCCAACAGGCUUAUGCUGGCGUCCAACACUACGCAGCAGCCUACCCUGCCGCCUAUGCGCCAAUCAGCCAAGCGUUCCCCCAGCAACCAACCAUCAUUCCCCAGCAACAGAGGGAAGGGCCGGAGGGUUGCAAUCUGUUUAUUUAUCACCUGCCCCAGGAGUUCGGAGAUGCGGAGCUCAUGCAAAUGUUCCUGCCUUUCGGCAACGUCAUCUCUGCCAAAGUCUUUGUGGACCGAGCGACCAAUCAGAGCAAAUGUUUCGGCUUUGUGAGUUUUGAUAACCCGUCCAGUGCUCAAGCCGCUAUCCAGGCCAUGAACGGCUUUCAGAUAGGCAUGAAGAGGCUGAAGGUGCAGCUAAAGCGGCCAAAGGAUGCCAACCGACCUUACUGACUUGUCUGCUGUCCAUACCCAGUGUGAGGUGGCCUUUCUCCGCUAUAGCCACCCUUCCCCCCACACCUGUCAUGGGGCCAAGUUCCCACAACUGAUGAAGGGCCACAACACCUUAUUUCCACAAGUGCAGUAAAAGUACAAAGACUUCUUGCUCUGCUACAUAUCAUGAAGGAAGGGUGGUCCCUUGAUCCUGCUGGAAACCCGCUGAAAGAUUGGGUGACUGCGAGAGGGAUACCAGAGUUGUUGUUUUUGUUUUUCUUUCUUGUUUUUUCUUUCUUCGCAAAUGCCUCUUUUUUCCCUGUUUUGCUUUGGCGUCUGUGGAAGAAGAUUUUUUGCAGAGACCAACUUUUUGCUGCUGUUUUUUAGACAUGAUGGGAAAAAAACCUUUAUAGACUCAUUAUGCUCAAAGCAUGCAUACUGACACAGGAUAUAGAUAAACACAGAUAACAAAACCAAACAUACACAUUUAACAAUGCUACAUUUAAAAAAUGAAAAAUGAAAAAAAAAAACUACUUUGUACAUGUAUAAAUACGUGCAAAUGCCAACUCAAGUACUAAAGCAAACACAUGCGUGUGCGCACGCACAUACAUACAGACACACACGCUCACACACACAUAUACACACACACCAGCCUGCUGCCAUUUUGGUUUUUGUGCCUACACAGGUGUUGUGCUCUGUGACAGGGCAAGCUCUGGAUCAAAGAAGAAAACGAGAAGAAGAAGAGAAGAGGAGAAUCCAGGAUAAUUUACAUGCAUCAUUCCUUAGGAAAUAGGGACCAAAGGACUAAACGCUUUUUAAAAGAAUAUAAAUAUAUAAUAUAUAAAUAUAUUUAAAAACUCAUACCUUGUAGCUGCAAGUAUUACAAUUUACUCGUAGUAAAAAAAUCAUUAAAUCAAUAUCCAGUGGCCUACUGUAAGUAAGAAUAAAAGAAAAUGGAAAUAAUGUAUUAAAAAAAGACAUGGAAUCUUAGUAUAGGGGCUGACCUUUUGCUCUGGAUGCUGAUUUAGCGCCAGGUUGUAGAAUAGUUAAGUAGAUUAGAAAAAAAAUGUAGAUUUGCUAACUUUUGCUGUUGUUUAAAAAAAAUACUUGAAGUUGUAAUGAAA